GCGUUGGUGGUUCAGUGGUAGAAUACUCGCCUGCCACGCGCGUGACCCGGGUUCGAUUCCCGGCUGACACA
rnacentral:tRNA from 1 species